GGUUAUUAAAGGUGGCUCAGGUUCUGACACCACACAUUCGUGUAGUUGAAACUCAACACAGCUAUAGACAGUUACCUUACAGCUAGAUUACAACACAGCUAUAGACAGUUACCUUACAGCUAGAUUACAACACAGCUACAAUAUGAGAAACCUAAUUGUUUUAAUUCUAGUUCUUUGCAGCUUUAGAGUCACGAUCAGUCAAGGGACGCAAAGAUUGUCUUUACUCUUGAAAUGCAAACAAUCAGCAGGAUUUAGCAUUUAUGGACAAGGCACAACAAAAAUGUGUCUGUACCUGGGACAAGAAAAUAAGACUUAUGUCGAGGCUCAAGCAGAUUGCACAAGUAGAAACUCUAGACUUGCUAUCUUUAACACGUUGGAGAAGUUCCAAAUUGUAGAGCCAAUGCCCAAUGUGUGGAUUGGUUUAGAUGACAUUGCAACCGAAGGAACCUAUCGCUGGGCAGAUGGGUCAAUACUAGAUCUUCAAAGUGAACUGAAAAAAAAAAUCUUUUACCCAGGAGAACCAGACGCUUAUUAUGUUGAUUCGGACUGUGUUUGCCAGAGAUGCUGGUCAAGUUCUGAAAAAUUAGUUGACACCGUUUCCUACUGGAAAUUAAGGAGAACCAAAUGCUUAUUACGUUGUUGAGAAUUGUGUUUGCCAGAGAUGUUGGUCAAGUUCGGAAAAAUUAGUUGACGCGCCCUGCAACUGGAAAUUAAGGAGAACCGAAUGCUGCUUUUGAAUUGGAGGACUGUGUUUGCAAUAAUUGUUUUAAGGAGUACCCAAAAUUGUUUGACUCACCUUGCGGGGAUACUUAUAGAUAUCUAUGUGAGAAAGUAAUUUAAAGUUCUAGAGGGAAAAAAAAUACCUCGAUACUCUGAACGAGCAAAAUAGUAGGAAAAACUACAUAUCUCAAUAAUGCAAGAUUUAAAUUAAAAUCAACAAACCAAAUUUUAAAAAAAUACUUGAAAGAAAAAAAAAAGGUUAUGAAAGGGGCAGAGCUCCACGUUUACAAAUAUAUCUCGGAAUAGUGUAGAAUUAUUUCCCUUUUUCGGAAACGAAAUAACGUGUUCUAAAUUUGUACUAGACAGACAGAAUGAGCUGAUAAAAGCUUUGUAAAAAAAAAUAAAGAAAGAAAUA